AGAUUAGAGUUUGAUCAUGGCUCAGAUUGAACGCUGGCGGCAUGCCUAACACAUGCAAGUCGAACGGAAACGAUGCUAGCUUGCUAGCAGGCGUCGAGUGGCGGACGGGUGAGUAAUGCAUAGGAAUCUACCUAGUAGUGGGGGACAACCUGGUGAAAACCAGGCUAAUACCGCAUAAUCCCUACGGGGCAAAGCAGGGGACCUUCGGGCCUUGCGCUAAUAGAUGAGCCUAUGUCGGAUUAGCUUGUUGGUGUGGUAAUGGCUCACCAAGGCAACGAUCCGUAGCUGGUCUGAGAGGAUGAUCAGCCACACUGGGACUGAGACACGGCCCAGACUCCUACGGGAGGCAGCAGUGGGGAAUAUUGCACAAUGGGCGCAAGCCUGAUGCAGCAAUGCCGCGUGUGUGAAGAAGGCCUUAGGGUUGUAAAGCACUUUCAGUAGGGAGGAAAAGUUCAAGGUUAAUAACCUUGGGCCCUGACGUUACCUACAGAAGAAGCACCGGCUAACUCCGUGCCAGCAGCCGCGGCAAUACGGAGGGUGCAAGCGUUAAUCGGAAUUACUGGGCGUAAAGCGCGCGUAGGCGGUUAAGUCAGUCAGAUGUGAAAGCCCCGGGCUCAACCUGGGAACUGCAUUUGAUACUGCUUAGCUAGAGUAUGGUAGAGGAGAGUGGAAUUUCAGGUGUAGCGGUGAAAUGCGUAGAUAUCUG
rnacentral:rRNA from 1 species